CUUUGAUGGUGGAUGGUUUGGUGCCUUCUAUUCCCUUCUCUGUUAUGACCCGAAAGCGGCUUGAUUUUGUGGCUCGAAAUCGAUAGAACCACAAGGAUUCGGGAAACUUUGUUGGAACAGAGAUUGAUAUGAUGAAGGAAAGGUUUGCAAAAUUACUGUUUGGUGAAGACAUGUCAGGAUGUGGAAAAGGGGUCUGCACUGCUACGGCCAUCUCAAAUGCUAUUACUAAGCUGUGUGAAAUGCGGUGAAGAGAGAUGGAAUGACUACUUUGUGUUAGUGAUCAUAUUGUUGCACUUGAUGAAGUAUCUUGUAAUUGAAUUUCUAUAUGCUUGUAUUGAAAGAAGGUUCUGAUGAAUUGGAACUAGCACAAUGGAAAGAUAUAUAUAUCUAUGGCCAUGGUCUAUUGCAUUCUUUGACCCGUUUUGACAGCUUUUAUACAAAUGCAGCACUGCUGGAAUUACCGAAUUGUAUGCUGCCCAUACUAUAAAUUGAGAAGUAGUUUCAGUGAUGUAGCAGAGAUACCAUAGAAUCAAUAACAAAUAUCCUUUUACGGCAAAGUAAGGUGAGAACUCAUGAGAAUGCAACCAUCAAUUGGGAUUUGAAUGUCACGGGAUAGAGCUGUCAAAAUGG